AUGUGACAAAUAUUUAUAUAUAUAUUUUACAAUUUUUAAUUUGUAUUUUUAAAUAAAUCUAUAUUCUGAAUGUAACAUAUGAAAUAUUAUUUUUAUAUUAUUAUUAUACUAUAUACGUAUUUAUAUGUUAAAUUUGUAUGAAAUAAAAAUUUUUAAUUGCUAAAAUAGUCAUGUAAACAGGUCUCAUGUUAUGAGGUUUUAUAUGGUAAUUCAAGAUGGAAGACGGUGAAAAUAAAGCGGACGUUGGGCUGGAUAAAGAGAAAAAGUCGUAUGCCGGAAUACCGGAGGCCGAAUUUGUAGACGAUGUCGACGCUUUCAUGGCGAGACCUGAAAAUGAAUCUGCAGAUAAAGUGUUACAAAAGUUGGAUGAAAACCAUGGCAAAUAUAAAUUUAUGGAAUAUAAUUUAUUUAAUAAAAGAAGACGUUUGAAAGCUCAGAUUCCAGAUCUAGAAAGAUCAUUAGACAUGAUCAAAAAAUUACAACAAGAGAAAGACAAAAGCAAAGAACUAGAAACACAAUUUCUUUUAUCAGAACAAGUUUAUGCAAAGGCUGUUAUUCCUCCUACUGAUAAAGUCUGUUUGUGGUUAGGAGCUAAUGUUAUGCUAGAAUAUACAUUGGAUGAUGCACAAGAAAUGUUAACAAAAAAUAUUGAAGCAGCAAAGAGAAAUCUAGGUUAUGUAGAACAUGAUUUAGAUUUUGUGAGAGAUCAAUUUACUACAACAGAAGUUAAUAUGGCACGUAUUUAUAAUUGGGAAGUAAAACGCAGACAAGCUGCUAAACCAACAUGAAGGCUGUUUUUUUAAUAAAUUUAAUGUGCACGCAAUGAAUGCCUAAAAACUCAAAAGGUUACUUACAUUACACUGUCAAAUGGAAAGAGCCUGUGAAUAAAAAGUACUGUUGGAAAUUAUCAAUGAAAUGAAGAACUCGAAUACCAUUUAGGUUAUAAGCUAGAUACACCAAUAUUUAUGUAUAUUGUCACAAAUACAUUUGAAUUCUAACUUCA